CGUACUUCUUACAAUUGCGAUGGGGGGACGGAGAAGGCUAGGUGGGCCUGGCGACGGUUGUCCAGGUUCAAGUACGUAGGCGGGUGGUUUAGGUAAAUCCGGACCGCUACUAACGCUGAGAUACGAUGUCGAGCUACUACGGUAGUGAAGUCAUUGAUGCCAUGCUUCCAGGAAAAGCCUCUAAGCUUCAGAUUGUAAGGAAUCGUACCCCAAACCGACACAGGUGGUCGGGUAGAGAAUACCAAGGCGCUUGAGAGAACUCGGGUGAAGGAACUAGGCAAAAUGGUACCGUAACUUCGGGAGAAGGUACGCUCUUAUCAGUGAAGUCCCUUGCGGAUGGAGCAGACGAGAGUCGCAGAUACCAGGUGGCUGCAACUGUUUAUUAAAAACACAGCACUGUGCAAAAUCGUAAGAUGACGUAUACGGUGUGACGCCUGCCCGGUGCCGGAAGGUUAAUUGAUGGGGUUAGACUUCGGUCGAAGCUCUUGAUCGAAGCCCCGGUAAACGGCGGCCGUAACUAUAACGGUCCUAAGGUAGCGAAAUUCCUUGUCGGGUAAGUUCCGACCUGCACGAAUGGCGUAAUGAUGGCCACGCUGUCUCCACCCGAGACUCAGUGAAAUUGAAAUCGCUGUGAAGAUGCAGUGUACCCGCGGCUAGACGGAAAGACCCCGUGAACCUUUACUACAGCUUGGCACUGAACAUUGAACCUACAUGUGUAGGAUAGGUGGGAGACUUUGAAACCGCGUCGCUAGAUGUGGUGGAGUCGUCCUUGAAAUACCACCCUUGUAGUUUUGAUGUUCUAACGUUGGUCCCUGAAUCGGGAUUACGGACAGUGCCUGGUGGGUAGUUUGACUGGGGCGGUCUCCUCCCAAAGAGUAACGGAGGAGCACGAAGGUGGGCUAAACACGGUUGGACAUCGUGUGGUUAGUGCAAUGGCAUAAGCCCGCUUGACUGCGAGAAUGACAAUUCGAGCAGGUGCGAAAGCAGGUCAUAGUGAUCCGGUGGUUCUGAAUGGAAGGGCCAUCGCUCAACGGAUAAAAGGUACUCCGGGGAUAACAGGCUGAUACCGCCCAAGAGUUCAUAUCGACGGCGGUGUUUGGCACCUCGAUGUCGGCUCAUCACAUCCUGGGGCUGAAGUCGGUCCCAAGGGUAUGGCUGUUCGCCAUUUAAAGUGGUACGCGAGCUGGGUUUAGAACGUCGUGAGACAGUUCGGUCCCUAUCUGCCGUGGGCGUUGGAAAAUUGAAAGGGGCUGCUCCUAGUACGAGAGGACCGGAGUGGACGAACCUCUGGUGUUCGGGUUGUCAUGCCAAUGGCAUUGCCCGGUAGCUAAGUUCGGAAUCGAUAACCGCUGAAAGCAUCUAAGCGGGAAGCGAGCCUUGAGAUGAGUUUUCCCUG
rnacentral:rRNA from 1 species